UUGGAGGGCAAGUCUGGUGCCAGCAGCCGCGGUAAUUCCAGCUCCAAUAGCGUAUAUUAAAGUUGUUGCAGUUAAAAAGCUCGUAGUUGAAUUUCGGGGUCAGUAGGUUGGUCAUGCCACUGGUAUGUACUGGUCUCACUGAUUCCUCCUUCCUGAUGAGCCGUAAUGCCAUUAAUUUGGUGUUGCGAGGAAUCUGGACUGUUACUUUGAAAAAAUUAGAGUGUUUAAAGCAGGCUAACGCUUGAAUACAUUAGCAUGGAAUAAUGAAAUAGGACGUUCGAUCUUAUUUUGUUGGUUUCUAAGAUUGACGUAAUGAUUAAUAGGGAUAGUUGGGGGCAUUAGUAUUCAAUUGUCAGAGGUGAGAUUCUUGGAUUUAUUGAAGACUAACUACUGCGAAAGCAUUUGCCAAGGAUGUUUUCAUUAAUCAAGAACGAAAGUUAGGGGAUCGAAGACGAUCAGAUACCGUCGUAGUCUUAACCAUAAACUAUGCCGACUAGGGAUCGGAUGAUGUUAAUUUUUUAAUGACUCAUUCGGCGCCUUACGGGAAAC
rnacentral:rRNA from 1 species